UCCUACGGGACGCAGCAGUCGGGAAUAUUGCGCAAUGGAGGAAACUCUGACGCAGUGACGCCGCGUAUAGGAAGAAGGUUUUCGGAUUGUAAACUAUUGUCGUUAGGGAAGAUAAAAGACUGUACCUAAGGAGGAAGCCCCGGCUAACUAUGUGCCAGCAGCCGCGGUAAUACAUAGGGGGCAAGCGUUAUCCGGAUUUACUGGGUGUAAAGGGAGCGUAGACGGCAUGGCAAGUCUGAAGUGAAAGCCCGGGGCUCAACCGCGGGACUGCUUUGGAAACUGUUAAGCUGGAGUGCAGGAGAGGG
rnacentral:rRNA from 1 species